CGGGCCUUGUACACACCGCCCGUCACACCACGAAGGUCGGCAAUACCCGAAGCCGGUGAGCUAACCCCUCGGGGAGGCAGCCGUCGAAGGUAGGGUUGAUGAUUGGGGUG
rnacentral:rRNA from 1 species